rnacentral:rRNA from 1 species
GAUGAACGCUAGCGGCAGGCCUAAUACAUGCAAGUCGGACGGGAUCUAUCGGAGAGCUUGCUCGAAGAUAGUGAGAGUGGCGCACGGGUGCGUAACGCGUGAGCAACCUACCCAUAUCAGGGGGAUAGCCCGGAGAAAUCCGGAUUAAGACCGCAUAACACUGUGAUUUGGCAUCAUGUUACAGUUAAAUAUUUAUAGGAUAUGGAUGGGCUCGCGUGACAUUAGCUAGUUGGUGAGGUAACGGCUCACCAAGGCGACGAUGUCUAGGGGCUCUGAGAGGAGAAUCCCCCACACUGGUACUGAGACACGGACCAGACUCCUACGGGAGGCAGCAGUAAGGAAUAUUGGUCAAUGGGCGGAAGCCUGAACCAGCCAUGCCGCGUGCAGGACGACUGCCCUAUGGGUUGUAAACUGCUUUUGUCGAGGAAUAAACCUAUCUACGUGUAGAUAGCUGAACGUACUCGAAGAAUAAGGAUCGGCUAACUCCGUGCCAGCAGCCGCCGCUG